AUUAAAGAAAAGAAAGAAAUAAAAACAAGAGCACUCUCUCGAGAAACUCUCCAACCUAACGGUUUCAGAAUCUCUCUCACUUCACUUCACACAAUUUUUACUACUCGAUCCAAAUCCCUUCCUCCAAGAACAAAGAGAGGAAUUCCACCGCCGCAGAUCGGAAAUGUCUCCGCCGGAAUCACAACUCGAUCCAAAUCCCUUCGUCCAUGAACAAUCCUGACACCGCUUAUCACUACUCCAUUUCGUCGCGAUUCUCAUCUCUCCGUUAACAGUAACAGACUCCUAAUUCCUUCCGCUACAGCAGUUUUCGCCAUCGCUAGGUUUUUCGUCGAUUUUGUCAAUUACUGAAGGUACACGAAUUUUCUGUUUAAUUUAACUAUUUAAUUAUUUAUUUAUCUAUUUUGAUUUUGUGUGUGUUUUGCCGGUUGUUGAUUUGAGAUUUUUGUGAUAACAUGUGGAAGAGAUUCGAAAAGACUUGCAAUUGGUGAAAAAGUUCUGGAAAAUUUCGUCAAGGUAUUUGUAUUUAUUAACUGUUUCUAGGUUAAUCAUUUUGUAUUGAAUCACACUGUUUUGGUGUUAAAUUGAAUGUUUAUGAACUUGAUUCUGUUCUAGGUUUUUUUUCUUCCAAGUUUUAUAUUGUGUUUAGUUGAAUAUUUUGUGUAUUAUUAUGUCAUUAUGUGCAUAGAAUCAUAGGAAUUUGUUGCUGAUUUUGAAUGUUAAUGAACUUGAUUGAUAUAUGACACUAAUAGUAACCGUGUGUUAUACACUGCAGAAUUACACUGUUAUGGUGUUAAUUUGAACGUUUAUGAACUUGAUUUUGCUUUUUUAUAAUUUUUAUAAUGUGUUUAGUCGCCUGGCACGCAGGCUCAGUGUUUCGUUGAAUAUUUUGUGCAUUAUGCACAUAGGAUCAUAUGAAUUUGGUGUUGAUUUUGAUAUGUAAGACUGACAGUGACAAUAAAGUUCACUUGAUUUAGUGUGAUUAUCGUUUGCAUGAGUUGCAAAACAGGUUAAUAAACUUGAUUGGCUUGUGUAUGUGGUACUACAUUUGGAUAUGUAAGACCGACAGUGACACUAACGUUCUUUGUCUCUGAUCGAUUUUGACUUAGAGUUAGUUAAUAUAUGAACUUUUAGUUUUGCCCCAAAAUCUACGCUACAACAGAGUAGUAUAUUACAUUGAUGAUAUGGUUAUAUGGUAUAAGGCAUUGUUUAUCCAAUAUAUAAGCUCAAAUUUGUUGAACUAUGCUUUAAGAGUCGGGGCAGUGUUGCCUCUUCCACAUUUGGUUGGCGUUCUUAUUUAUGUUUCAUGUUAGUAUUAAUUUGUUUCCAUACUUUUAGUUUACCCUUAUGUGACUACUGGCAGUGUGGCCUCUAGGCUCUAUUAGGCAAGGUCAUCAGGCAAUGGUAUUUGUUUGUUCACGAAAAGACACUGCAAAGACUGCUUAGAAACUGGUUUGUCAUUUAAGAAGUUUUAUAUAGUCACGUUAUUUGAUCUGAAAUUUUUUCUCCUUAUAUUGCAGGUUUGCUGAAACCAUUAUUUUGUAUUAUACACUUGGUCUAUAUGAACAGAUUGUACUAGUUUCUGCCCCAUGCCUUGCUUUCAGUAUCAUUAUUUUUAUGUCAUGUUCAACAGGCUGAACUUGCACGAAUGGAAGAAGACUUGGAACUCUUCAAUAAUGACACAAAUCCACAUUAUUUCUUUAUGAAGAAAGAAGUCAUUAAAUCAAGAAACAAGGAUCUCGUUCAACUUUUUGAAUUUGGCAUGGGUAUUCAUCAUGCUAUGAUGUUACGUUCAGAUAGAGGACUGACUGAGAGGCUUUUCUCUCAUGGACUUUUGAAGGCAGAGCUUAUCUCACUAGUUUUCAAUCUAGACUUUCGGAAUUUGCCUCUUGUUUCAUUAAGUAUGCAUUGUGGUGCUUUUAGGUACUUGUCUGCACAACAACUCUGGCAUGGGGUGUCAAUCUAGCUGCUCACACAGUUGUAAUUAAGUAUGCACUAUGGUAUUUAAUGAUGUAACUUUUUAGUUUAACACUUCUACAUGCUAGAUACUAUGAUGUGUAGAUGCUGUUACUGUCAAUUCUUAGACAAGAAAACAGGUACGUUGCUACAUGCCUGCACGGUGUGUCGAAAUGGAACUCCACAUAUUCCUCAAUGGUGAUGGCCCAUCUAAAGAAUUCAAUGAUUUUUGCACAAAACUUGCUGGGUUGACUUGGUAAGUGUUAUUACUUGCUUAUUACUGUUUCAUUAUGAAUUAGCAUUUUUUGUUUAUUAACGAUUUUUUGUUCUGACUAGAGUUUCACUUUAAAUUUGAUACAUUUUCCUCGAGUUUCCCGAAAAGAGACAUACUUUGUACUUGCUUUGAAUUAGAUAUGGUAAAUCUUCUAUCACGUCUCAAGUUACAAUAUCUGGUAUCGAAAAUAGAGGGGAUGAGUGAUUACAGAGGAGAUCUUGUCAUUUGAGAGAAUUGGAUCAAUGGUUUAUAUAUUAAGCACUGGUUGACAUCAAAAAGAGUUUGAUUGAUCCCAUGGACAAACUGAUGAGGAACUAGAAUUAGGGUGGAUCAAUGUGCAGCAAACUAGAAUUAGUUUUCUAUUUUGAACCAAAGUAUAUCUAUCAGAAGGAUAAAUGGUAAUGUUAUACCAUGCUAAUAUAUCUUCAUUGUUUUUUGCUUGAAGGGAUUUCAUGUGGAACAAUCUGACAAGCGCAAUACCAAAAGAGAUUGGCAAUAUUACAUCAUUGAAACUCUUGUAAGAUCGUGACCAAAGAAGUCGAAUUAUUAGUUUUGAUUCUCAUCAAGUUUUUGUGUUAAGGUGGUGUCUACUUGUUGACUUGACUUUAGCUUUUGGACAAUAAUAACUUAUCCGGAUAUCUUCCACCAGAAUUCUCGGAGUUAUACAGUUCGGCAAUAUUGUAUGUUAUGCUCUAUAUUGUCUAGAUUAGUAGCAUAUAAUAGCUUCUUCAUUGUAUAUGUUGCAUGCUUUUGUUUGAUUUGUGGAUGAGGAUCUGUAAACUAUGAUGAUACAUGACCUGAAUGUAGUUAGAAUCAGAGAUGCUCAAUCAAUGUCUGGUACCCAUCAUACAAUCUUGUUAAUUUUCAAUUUUGUUUAUUGAAAUAGCUGAAACCUUCAUUUAUAGGGAUGUUGCAGAAUUUGCACUUAUGUUAUUUUAGUUUGACAUAACCUUGAUUUACGUCACUUUGU